rnacentral:rRNA from 1 species
AUUGAACGCUGGCGGCAUGCCUUACACAUGCAAGUCGAACGGUAACGCGGGGCAACCUGGCGACGAGUGGCGAACGGGUGAGUAAUGCAUCGGAACGUGCCCAGUAGUGGGGGAUAGCCCGGCGAAAGCCGGAUUAAUACCGCAUACGACCUACGGGUGAAAGCGGGGGACCGUAAGGCCUCGCGCUGUUGGAGCGGCCGAUGUCAGAUUAGGUAGUUGGUGGGGUAAAGGCCUACCAAGCCUUCGAUCUGUAGCUGGUCUGAGAGGACGACCAGCCACACUGGGACUGAGACACGGCCCAGACUCCUACGGGAGGCAGCAGUGGGGAAUUUUGGACAAUGGGCGCAAGCCUGAUCCAGCCAUGCCGCGUGCGGGAAGAAGGCCU